rnacentral:rRNA from 1 species
AACAGGAUUAGAUACCCUGGUAGUCCACGCCGUAAACGAUGUCGACUUGGAGGUUGUGCCCUUGAGGCGUGGCUUCCGGAGCUAACGCGUUAAGUCGACCGCCUGGGGAGUACGGCCGCAAGGUUAAAACUCAAAUGAAUUGACGGGGGCCCGCACAAGCGGUGGAGCAUGUGGUUUAAUUCGAUGCAACGCGAAGAACCUUACCUGGUCUUGACAUCCACGGAAGUUUUCAGAGAUGAGAAUGUGCCUUCGGGAACCGUGAGACAGGUGCUGCAUGGCUGUCGUCAGCUCGUGUUGUGAAAUGUUGGGUUAAGUCCCGCAACGAGCGCAACCCUUAUCCUUUGUUGCCAGCGGUCCGGCCGGGAACUCAAAGGAGACUGCCAGUGAUAAACUGGAGGAAGGUGGGGAUGACGUCAAGUCAUCAUGGCCCUUACGACCAGGGCUACACACGUAAUACAAUGGCCGGUACAGAGGGCAGCUACACAGCGAUGUGAUGCAAAUCUCGAAAGCCGGUCUCAGUUCGGAUUGGAGUCUGCAACUCGACCCCGUGAAGUUGGAUUCGCUAGUAAUCGCAGAUCAGCAAUGCUGCGGUGAAUACGUUCCCGGGCCUUGUACACACCGCCCGUCAAGCCAUGGAAGCUGGGGGUGCCUGAAGCCGGUAACCGCAAGGAGCCGUCUAGGGUAAAACCGGUAACUGGGGCUAAGUCGUAACAAGGUAACC